rnacentral:rRNA from 1 species
UACGGAGGGUGCGAGCGUUGUCCGGAAUCAUUGGGCGUAAAGAGCGCGCAGGCGGUCGAUCAAGUCGCGUGUGAAAGCCCCCGGCUCAACUGGGGAGGGUCACGCGAUACUGAUCGACUCGAAGGCAGGAGAGGGUAGUGGAAUUCCCCGGUGUAGUGGUGAAAUGCGUAGAUAUCGGGAGGAACACCAGUGGCGAAGGCGACUACCUGGCCUGUUCUUGACGCUGAGGCGCGAAAGCUAGGGGAGCAAACGGG